ensembl:lncRNA
GUGUGUGUGUGUGUGUGUGUGUGUGUGUGUGUGUGUCUGUGUGUGUGUACACAGUAAAAUUACAAGAGUAACAUUUCCGUAGUUAAAAUUAUUUUACUCAAACUGUAUUUUUUGCUCUGAUUUGAGGUGAAAGAACAAAACAAGAGUUGAGAGACACGCAGAGUUAGAUCUGAAUAACGGAGUCAUAAUUUUGACUCCUCCCAGAGGGCAACGCAGUUAAGUUUCGUUUUGUCCGCCAUUACGCCGAUGGUCAUUUCAGCUGCAACCGAUCUGGAUAAAAGUCUGGAAAGUCUGCUAGGAAAAUAACAACGAUGGAGGCAACUGUUAGGGUGAAAUAUAAGGACAGAAAGAAGUACUUCUUCCUAACAUCACCUUUUCAAUUCGAAGUAUUUUUGGAAAGUGAUUCCUUCAGUUCUAGUACGAUUGGCGAUGGUGAGGCUUCCUUCAGUUCUGGUACAAUUGGCGAUGGAGAGCCUUCAUCAGGAUCUGAUGACACAGCAAUAGUGAUCAGAAAUCCCUCAGAAAAAAGACAUGAAGAGGACCGUCGUCUGGGUCGAGUAAGAUCAAUAGAUUGUUUAUGUCCUUUUUGUAACUUUGUUGCAACCAUAUAUAUGCUCUUGUUAAUCUGUGUACUCUGUGUGUUCUCUGUGUACCUGUCAAUUGUCAAUCACCUCUCCCAAGAUGAUUGAGGACAUCCUCAAGAGUAGCCCUGGAGGUGAUAAGAUCACACAUGAGUAUGCUCGCACAAAAACAUUGUCAGAUGCAGAGCCGGACAGUAACGGAGUACAUUUACUUGAGUACAGUACUUAAGUACAAUUUUGAGGGAUCUGUACUUUACUUGAGUAUCAUUUUUUGGGAGUACUCAUGACUUUACUCAAGUACAUUUGAGAGGCAAAUAUUGUACUCUUUACUCCGUUACAUUUCUAUCCGUAACCGUGAGUACCCGUUACUCCUUCUGAAAAAUAAAAGGAGAAAAGAAAAAUCACGGAAACCCUCAAUUUGUUGUUUCCCUCUCAAACGUGAUUCCCUCUCAAACUGAUUAGGACAGCCUUCAGCCUAUCAGCAAUCACCUUCGCUUUCAGCCAAAGCCAACUCCAUGGUCAGAAUUAGAUGAGAGACGAUUGUUGGAUAAAAACGGAGAAACUCACACAUACAUAGAAUUGUUAGCUGAAUUUUCUUUUCUGAUAUUGCAUAUUUAUGUAAGCUGAGCAAUUGUUUUUAUGUUCUUGAGUAUACUGUAUACUAUUGUGCUAUUGCCAUGGUAAAAAGAUGAAAAUUACUUGAUUUUACUUUCAAUUCCUUUUACAUUCCCCAAGGUGUUAACAUUUUUCAUAACUCCAUGUAGGACGUUUCUAUACAUAAAUGUAAGCACUGUGGCAGUAGUAAUGCAAUAUUUAGAAAACAUACUCUUGUACUCUUGAUACUCAAGUACUUUUAAAAACAAGUACUUCAGUACUUUUACUUAAGUAGACAUCUGACUGUAGUACUUUUACUUGUACUUGAGUAAAAUUUAGCAAGGGGUAUCUGUACUUUUACUCAAGUAAGGAAGCUGUGUACUCUGUCCGCAUCUGGUCAGAUGUCAGAGGACGUGACCUAGUGAAGAUACUAGUUGCACAUCUGACAAAUGAGCAUGGCACAAGCCCCCCUAGGAGAUUGAAGGAGGAAUACGCCAAAGGAAUCAUCUGCCUUUUUCCUUACUUGGCUGACCCCCGGAGCAAGCUUGGCUAUGAACAUUUUUAUAAUGCUGAAGAUGGAAGUGGGUAUUUGGCUUGGAGAAUCAAAACUCUGCAGAAAGAGGUGUCCGAGGGGCGAAUGAAACGGUCACGACAACUUCAAACAGGCCAGUGAUUAAUUUGGAACUUGACCACUCGUUUAUUUGGUCUAGGUUUUCUUUUGAGUAUUAAACUGGCAUGUUGUCCCAAACCUUUAGGUGAGCCAACUUCACACAGGGAUCCAUUGAAAGAAGACAUCCAAUGGGACGAACAGCAGUGUCAAGAAGCAAUUGCCCUGAUGAAGCAUUCUACGGAUGAAGUUGUAGUGAAGGAGAAAAUGAGGCUAACCCUGGCCUAUCGUCAGAAGUUGCUGCACGAUCCUGAGAACUCAGCCGACAUCCUAUCUGUUUUUCCUCGUUUCUUGGACAUUCCAGGUUUGAUUGUUCAAGAUUUCAGGAGUCUUUUUGGUGACGCAACCUCUGCAAAGAUGUUGGAAAAGUGGACCACCAACUUUCAAGCAAAGGUUGUAACUCAGUGUCGUGGGCUUACACUGACUGGAGAUGUACAAGACCUCAUCCAAAAUGCUGAAGCCACUGAAGUAGAUGAUGGCUGGGACAGUGACAUGUCAUCAAUGCUGUUGCUGGUUCACCUUCUGCCACCUUCAAGCCAAGGCGGAAAAAAAACCAGGGAAAAUCUCAGCCAGACAAGCAUGCGACAGUCUUGUAAAAUUCAUCAAGAUUGGGACCAGCAUCCAAGGACACCUGGACAACAUCUCUGGGAGUCUCCAGCCAUACCUACUUGCUGUUGGUGCCAAGAAGAGCAUGAUCGAGUCUUACUACAUCGUGAUCGACAAACAUGCUCUACCCUGUAAGACCUCAACUUCAUUGGCUUGUGUUGAUGAACUUUUCAAAGCACAUUUCGUCUUUGGCACAAGAUACUGUCAGGAAUUGACCAAUGUGUACACCUUUCUGCAAACCACUGUCUAUGACAUAGAUGUGGAAAACACCAAGGUAAAUCCUAGAGUUGCAGAGUUGAGGGCCAGGAUGCUGAAGUAAACUCCUAUGAUCUGCUUCAUUUGUCUUUGUCCCGGAAAAACUCUCAGGUUAAAAUGUGCUCAAAGGGGUUGUGCACAUGUAUAUAAUAGUUUUUCUGGAUUACGAAAGCAUCUCACUAAGUGUUCUUUGCGUGACAGUUCAAGUGUUAAUGAAAGUUCAUCUUCAGCAUAGGAGUGGAGAAUGAGAUGCCUGUGUUUCAUGUAGUCCAGAAUAUUGUUGUAAGAGAUUAGUGUUCUUUUUAUAACGACUGCUAUGAAAACUCUUUAUUUAGAGGAACAUGUCCAUGCUUUCAAGGUUAUGCACACCACAGAAGCACCCAUUGUUUUGGAAUUUAAAGACCUUUUGCACCACAAGUCUUCUGAUUUUUUUUAUGUGGUCUUGAUUCAGAUUUGUUUAUAAUCCAUUAUUUUUUCAUGCAAUGCUUUUUGUUUAGAAUGAUGUCAACAGUGUGCAUGUGCACAUAUGGAAUGAUAAUUUUCUAUUGAGAGCAAAUAUUUGGUGCCAAAUAAAAGGACAUGUGGGAUAAU